ACCGCGCCAAGCAGAAAUAUAUCUUAACGUACAUUAUGACGAAAUCGAGAAACGACGUCACAAGUUGCAAGUGCGAUUUCAAAAUGGCGACGCCCAUGCUUUGACAUGUUUAUAAUUUAAUAUUUGACAUGGAUACGUUUGAGGUAUGUUUCAGUCUAUAAUAUUACAUGUUGAUAAUGUUGUAACAUAUAUUUGAAAAUUUAUUCAGUAUUAUAAGCAGUUUUAUUAUGAAAAUAUGAGAAAUCCCUUGCUAUAAAAAUUGGUGAAGGUCAAGUGUGUCGUCACUGUCGAAUCGAUUGUUGUGAUGUCAUCAAGCUAUAUUUUGCAUUGAAUGAAAUAAUGAAACAGAAUCUAGAUCUACAUGUAACAAUUUUGAAACGACAUUUGUUCUCGUAAAUUAUUAAUCAAGAUAAGCCCUACAGUAUUGCAAUUUUCGAUUCAGUUGUAUGCGAAUGUUUCUGGCAAUGUUUGUAGAUUUAGAUCUAUUUUGUCCAAUUUUUAUUAUUUAUUUAUUUAUUUAAGUCAAGAAGCUUGCACUGUCGGCUACAUCACAUUUCUUUUUGUACAUAAACAUAUAUGUAAAAAUAUCUCCGCCGAUGACAUCAUUGUACAAUUUUUAAAGAUGGUAUGUGUUAGUUUCAUAGGGGUAAUUAUUUAUACAAUAAAUGCAACCAGUAAAAUUGUCUUGGGCGGAAUGGCGCAGCGCUAGCGUACCCGAUUUGCAAACUGAAGACUCGCGUUCGAAUCUGUCUCACGUCGUGUUUUUUUUUUUUAACUAUUCAUUUUAUUUAUUAUUCAACCUCCACACAUUCCAUUCUUUUUUCUCCAUUCAGGAUUUAGAAGAUUUACUUGAAGUGUUUGGAUUGGGAAGUAAAUCUAGUACAUCAAAUAGCCAAUGUACACAGGAACUUGCAGAAGCUGGAACUACAAAUGAUGAUGCUGAUGAUGAAAUGUCCGUGGAAAACCUGGUGGAAAACUUCAUGGCAGCUAGAGUUCAAACCGAUACAGCUGGCGAUGAACACAACGAUGAUAUACAUCUAAACCAAACAGAUGAGUUGGACGAAGAUGAUCCCCAAAGAGAUCUCGCAACUAUCAAACAUAAACUUCAAGAGGGUUGUGGCUGUAAACUUUGUUGUUUCAAAGGUGUUACAGUAGGAGUUGUUCUAGACAAUAUUCUUAGAAUGAGAGAGAUGUCAAAAGACAAUAAAGAGUUAUUUGUCAUGGGAAACUUGCGUGAAAAACUUGGUACUGACCGGUGCAAGGAGGGAGAACGACAGCAAGUGCGCUUUGAAUACAAUUUCCAAGGAAAAACGGUUUGCCAGAAAGCAUUUUGUUUGAUAUUUGACAUGGGGAAAAGCACUGUGAAGCGUAUUCAGAAACACAUUUCCACAAAGGGUGUAGGACCGCGGGUUCAUGGUCUAGUAGGAAGAAGACCGUCAAAUGCAUUUUCCACUGACGUCAUCAAAGAUGCAGUGCAGUACUUAAUAAACUAUGCAAUCGAAGAAGGACUUCCACAGCCAUCACCACCAAGAGGCCGAGAUGAUACACCGCCCAUUUAUCUACCCGCAUCAAAAACUAAGAUCAUGAUUCAUCAAGAAUAUAUGGAAGCUUGUGUAGAAAGUGGUAAGGCUCACGUUGGAAAGUCAACAUUUAAAAAUGUAUGGAAUCAGUGUGUCCCUCAUAUAAAAAUCAUGAAUCCGCGAGACGAUGUAUGCAAUACAUGUGAGGACUUUCGCGAUACCAUAUCUAUGGCUAGAAGUGAAGAUGACAAACUAGACGCCACUGCUAGUUAUCACCAGCAUGUUUUUUCUGCACGUGCAGAGCGAGAGGUGUAUCAGCAAUGUGUACAAGAAUCUACGGCUCUUUUCCGAGGUAGCUCACAAGAUCACAGCAAGGUCCAUUAUACAUUUGAUUUUAGUCAAUAUGUGAAAUUACCUCAUUACGCAAGAGAGAAAGGACCUACCUUCUUUAUACAGCCACGCAAGGUGCAGAGUUGGCUUCAGAAUAGAUGAAUAUCGCCAGUACAACUAUUUAAUAGAUGAAGACCAGACAAUAGGUGUAGACGGACAAUUGGCACAUGGACCCGAUUCUGUGAUCUCCAUGUUGGACCACGCCUUUGGAACGUUUUGUCACCAGGGAGGAGAUUGCACAGUACAUGCUGAUAACUGUUUUGGUCAAAAUAAAAACCGCUACGUGAUUGCCUACCUUUCAUGGAGAACUAUGACGAACAGACACGAUAAUAUCAAAUAUAUGAUGCAGUUACCUGGCCAUACUAGAUGUUUGAUUGACGCCGGUUUUGGCAGAAUUAAACAGAGGUAUCGUAGGGAGGAUAUUGAUACGCUUCAACACGUAGCGGAUGUUGUUGAUCUGUCAUCCUGUAGCAACGUCUCAGUUGUGUAUGGCAGGGAUACAUGGAAAUGGAGGCAGUGGAAGGCUUUCUUCGGCGACAGAUAUAAAAAAGUUCCGAAUAUAUCCAAGUACCACUACUUCCGGUUCACUUCAACAGACCCCGGAGCCGUAUUUAUGAAAAUAUCUGCGGUUGACACAGAGGAGACAAGGUUUGUCGUCUGUAAAACAAACCUUCUUGCUAUGGAUUCAUAUGACAUUCCUCAAGAAAUAAUGCCAGCUGGACUUAGCCGAGAGCGACAGCGCUACCUUUACAGCCAGGUUCGCCCGCUUGUGAGACUUCAGUUUCAGGAAGAAUUCUGUGCAGUACCAGCUCAAGAAUAGUGGACAUGUGAAAAGAAAUGUCUUUAAAUGGGAGCUUUUUAACGCUAGACGUUUGUCGUCUCGUGAACUAAGUGUUUACAAAUGUGUAAAAAUGAGAUUUUUAAUUUGGUUAUAUAUCGUCAUGGUAAUAAACAGUGUAAACUUGAAAAUUGAAGUACAUACUGAAAUACCGAUGACGGACUUCUUUCACUGCUGUUACCAUGGGAACGGAUAAAUAUGUGUGCUAUUUCAGAUAUGUUGCUUGUUAUAAGGGACGGCAUUUAAUGAUUUAUUGUUCUAAACAAAAAUGUUUUGAAUCUGAUUUCUAUAUGUUGCUUUGAAUUUUAUGUAAAUAAUUCCUUUUCACUACCGUUGUAUGCUACUUAUGUUACUAAGUUUACAUAGAAAACUACUUUUCUUUUAAUCAUAAAAAAUUUGUAAUAAGUGAAAUUUCGUAGGAUAUUUUUGUAAAAGUGGAAAAAAUAUUUAAAACUGUAAUGUUGUAAGUAUACCGGUGUAAAAAGUACUUAACAUGUCUUGAAAACCGCAUAAUUCUAUUCGCAAGUCAGUCGUUUCCAUGACAACAAAUAUUUGUAUUAAAAUAAAUACUUAUAUUUUAGAGAAAGUGUUUGUCUUUACAUAUGAUAUCAAAUGACCGUUGUAAAAUCACUAUAAUACAGUAGAUAAACAUAUAAAUCCAAUACUUCUUUUUAAUUGUUUGACAUUUUUGUUAACGUUUUCUUGACGUUAAUUGUGUAAUUUUUUAUUCAAGAUGACGUCUUUGGACUGAAAUGCUCCAAAAUGUACGUAAUAUACCUAUAGAAAGGUUUACAUUUUUAUAAACAGUAAAACGUGCAGAAUAAUAAUCAAUGAAAACCUAAAAAUGUCACAA